UACGGGGGGGGCAAGCGUUGUUCGGAAUUACUGGGCGUAAAGGGCUCGUAGGCGGCCAACUAAGUCAGACGUGAAAUCCCUCGGCUUAACCGGGGAACUGCGUCUGAUACUGGAUGGCUUGAGUUUGGGAGAGGGAUGCGGAAUUCCAGGUGUAGCGGUGAAAUGCGUAGAUAUUGGGAGGAACACCAGUGGCGAAGGCGGCUCACUGGACCGGUACUGACGCUGAAGCGCGAAAGCGUGGGGAGCAAACGGG
rnacentral:rRNA from 1 species